rnacentral:rRNA from 1 species
GUGGCAAGCGUUAUCCGGAUUUAUUGGGCGUAAAGCGAGUGCAGGCGGUUCAAUAAGUCUGAUGUGAAAACAGUCGGGUCAACCGGAGAAAUGCAUCAGAAACUGUUGAACUUGAGUGCAGAAGAGGAGAGUGGAACUCCAUGUGUAGCGGUGGAAUGCGUAGAUAUAUGGAAGAACACCAGUGGCGAAGGCGGCUCUCUGGUCUGCAACUGACGCUGAGGCUCGAAAGCAUGGGUAGCGAAC